rnacentral:snRNA from 1 species
AAGGUUUUUGUCUUGUCGC